rnacentral:rRNA from 1 species
UACAGAGGGUGCUAGCGUUGUUCGGAAUCAUUGGGCGUAAAGGGCGUGUAGGCGGUUUGUUAAGUCAUGUGUGAAAUCCCUCGGCUCAACCGGGGAACGACGCAUGAAACUGCCGAGCUAGAGUGCGGAAGAGGCAACUGGAAUUCCCAGUGUAGCGGUGAAAUGCGUAGAUAUUGGGAAGAACACCUGAGGCGAAGGCGGGUUGCUGGGCCGACACUGACGCUGAUGCGCGAAAGCCAGGGGAGCGAACGGG